rnacentral:rRNA from 1 species
UACGAAGGGUGCAAGCGUUACUCGGAAUUACUGGGCGUAAAGCGUGCGUAGGCGGUUUGUUAAGUCCGUUGUGAAAGCCCUGGGCUCAACCUGGGAAUUGCAGUGGAUACUGGCGAGCUAGAGUGCGGUAGAGGAUGGUGGAAUUCCCGGUGUAGCGGUGAAAUGCGUAGAGAUCGGGAGGAACACCCGUGGCGAAGGCGGCCAUCUGGACCAGCACUGACGCUGAGGCGCGAAAGCGUGGGGAGCGAUCCGG